rnacentral:rRNA from 1 species
GGUGUCUUCGGACGCCGGCAUACGGCUCAGUAACACGUAGGUAACCUACCCUCAGGACUGAGAUAACCCCGGGAAACUGGGGCUAAUAUUAGAUAGAUAAAAGAUACUGGAAUGUUCUUUUAUCCAAAGCUUUUGCGCCUGAGGAUGGGCCUGCGUCCGAUUAGGUUGUUGGUGGGGUAAUGGCCCACCAAGCCCGCGAUCGGUACGGGCAGUGGGAGCUGAAGCCCGGAGUUGGGGACUGAGACAAGGCCCCAGGCCCUACGGGGCGCAGCAGGCGCGAAACCUCUGCAAUGCGGGAAACCGUGACAGGGGGAUCCCAAGUGCUCAUGCAUUGCAUGGGCUGUUCUUUGGUCUAAGUAACCAGAGGAGUAAGGGCUGGGCAAGACCGGUGCCAGCCGCCGCGGUAAUACCGGCAGCUCAAGUGGUAGCCGCGAUUAUUGGGCCUAAAACGUUCGUAGCCGGAUAAGUAAGUCUUUGGUUAAAUCCUGCGACUCAACCGUGGGAAUUCUAGAGAUACUGCUUGUCUUGAGACCGGGAGAGGUUGGAGGUACUCCUAGGGUAGGGGUGAAAUCCUGUAAUCCUAGGGGGACCACCUGUGGCGAA